UGAGUAAGACAGAUGGUCGCUGCUGCAGUUCUAAGGGAUGCAGGAGAGGAAAGUCCGGGCUUCAAAGGGCAGGGUGCCGGAUAACGUCCGGCGAAGGCGACUUCAGGGACAGUGCAACAGAAAUAAACCGCAUGGAAACAUGUAAGGGUGGAAAGGCAGUGUAAGAGACUACCGCCUCAAUGGUAACAGGGAGGGCACAUGCAAACCCCACUCGAAGCAAGGCCAAACAGG
rnacentral:RNase_P_RNA from 1 species